AGCUUUUAAAAGUGAGUGGUUUGAAUCUAAGAUUCAUAAUUAUAUGUAGAUAUGUUAAAUGUUGACAUUUACUUUACUAAACGAAAAAUGAG